rnacentral:rRNA from 1 species
GAGUGAACGCUGGCGGUCGGCCUAACACAUGCAAGUCGAACGGCAGCACAGUAAGAGCUUGCUCUUACGGGUGGCGGGUGGCGGACGGGUGAGGAAUACAUCGGAAUCUACUUUUUCGUGGGGGAUAACGUAGGGAAACUUACGCUAAUACCGCAUACGACCUACGGGUGAAAGCAGGGGAUCUUCGGACCUUGCGCGAUUGAAUGAGCCGAUGUCGGAUUAGCUAGUUGGCGGGGUAAAGGCCCACCAAGGCGACGAUCCGUAGCUGGUCUGAGAGGAUGAUCAGCCACACUGGAACUGAGACACGGUCCAGACUCCUACGGGAGGCAGCAGUGGGGAAUAUUGGACAAUGGGCGCAAGCCUGAUCCAGCCAUACCGCGUGGGUGAAGAAGGCCUUCGGGUUGUAAAGCCCUUUUGUUGGGAAAGAAAAGCAGCAGGUUAAUACCCCGCUGUUCUGACGGUACCCAAAGAAUAAGCACCGGCUAACUUCGUG